rnacentral:rRNA from 1 species
GUGGGGAAUAUUGGACAAUGGGCGCAAGCCUGAUCCAGCCAUGCCGCGUGUGUGAAGAAGGCCUUCGGGUUGUGAAGCACUUUUGUCCGGGAAGAAAUCUUCCAAGUUAAUACCCUGGGAGGCUGACGGUACCGGAAGAAUAAGCACCGGCUAACUUCGUGCCAGCAGCCGCGGUAAUACGAAGGGUGCAAGCGUUACUCGGAAUUACUGGGCGUAAAGCGUGCGUAGGUGGUUCGUUAAGUCUGCCGUGAAAGCCCCGGGCUCAACCUGGGAAUGGCGGUGGAUACUGGCGGGCUAGAGUGCGGUAGAGGGUGGUGGAAUUCCCGGUGUAGCAGUGAAAUGCGUAGAGAUCGGGAGGAACAUCUGUGGCGAAGGCGGCCACCUGGACCAACACUGACACUGAGGCACGAAAGCGUGGGGAGCAAACAGGAUUAGAAACCCGGGUAGUCC